AUCGUGGUGAGGUUGUCUCGUCUUUGGGGUCUGUCUUGUGAAUUCAUGUUUUAUUUUGGAAGUAACUCUCCUCUCGUUUCAGAUCACGUGCCCUUCCUCUUGUGUUCCUGGUCUGACGUCAUCCCUAAUUCCUGAUUGUUUGCACCUGUGUCUCCCUCCCUCAUGUGUAUAAAGUCUUUGUCUUCCCCUGUCUGCGUCGCCUAAGUGUUUCGUCGUUUCGUCGUAUGCUCAAGCCCUUGUAUCACAGUCCUCGAAAACCACGUCCGCUGAUAUCGACAAAAACCAGGCUUUAUCCACACCCAAGAAGGGUCCUGCUAUCGUGAUUUUUCCCUGCGGAUGCUUCAGCCUAAAAGCAUUUGACUACAGAGAUGUGGAAUCAGAAAAGGAGUAUGCUAAUCUACUUUUGGAAGUGGGAAAGUGGGUUCUUGUUCAGUAUGAAGGUGAACUGUUCCCUGGCACCAUUACACAGAUUGCAGAUGGUCAAUACUGACGUAGACACCAUGAGCUGUGCAGGACCAAACAAGUUUUUCAUUCCAUCAGUCCACUUUGAGGGAGAAAAGGUGUGGUGCCCCAGAGCCACAACCUGCAACAUCAUCAGCUCGGCACCUCUGUGUGUUGCCGGAAAUCUGGGCAAAGUUCACAAAGCAGAAAUAGGGUAGCAGUAGGAAGCACUGACACACAAAAGUCAUGUUCGUUUGUUUUCCUCCAAAUAGUUUGAUUGUGUUCUGUAAAAAAUGUUAAAAUGAAAUGUUGCUCUAUUUAGCCAUGUGUUGUUGUUUUUCUAUAUGUUGUUUUGGUUCUGUUUACAUGUGUAUGAAUUUCUUCAUUAAAACUAUGUUUCUUAAUAGCAACUGUCAUUACGGAAACAUUUAUUAUCAUUUCUGAAAUGUAUUCAUUUAAGGUUAAUUCAAGGUUUGGGACGAAAUGUGCAGGAAGUUGUUAUUUAAUAACUUGAGUAUGCAUAGAAUAUCAAAAUGCUUUUAAAAAUAAAAGU